rnacentral:rRNA from 1 species
GACGAACGCUGGCGGCGUGCUUAACACAUGCAAGUCGAACGGAAAGGCCCCUUUGGGGGUCCUCGAGUGGCGAACGGGUGAGUAACACGUGAGUAACCUGCCCUUGACUUCGGGAUAACUUCAGGAAACUGGGGCUAAUACCGGAUAGGAAUCCUUGCUGCAUGGUGGGGGUUGGAAAGCUUCGGCGGUUUUGGAUGGACUCGCGGCUUAUCAGCUUGUUGGUGGGGUAGUGGCUUACCAAGGCUUUGACGGGUAGCCGGCCUGAGAGGGAGACCGGCCACAUUGGGACGGAGAUACGGCCCAGACGCCUACGGGAGGCAGAAGGGGGGAAUAUUGAACAAUGGGCGGAAGCCUGAUGCAGCAAAGCCGCGUGCGGGAUGACGGCAUUCGGGUUGUAAACCGCUUUCAGCAGGGGCGAAGCUUGUGGUGACGGUACCUGCAGAAGAAGCACCGGCUAACUACGUG